AACGCUAGCUACAGGCUUAACACAUGCAAGUCGAGGGGCAGCAUGAACUUAGCUUGCUAAGUUUGAUGGCGACCGGCGCACGGGUGAGUAACACGUAUCCAACCUGCCGAUGACUCGGGGAUAGCCUUUCGAAAGAAAGAUUAAUACCCGAUGGCAUAGUUCUUCCGCAUGGUAGAACUAUUAAAGAAUUUCGGUCAUCGAUGGGGAUGCGUUCCAUUAGGUUGUUGGCGGGGUAACGGCCCACCAAGCCUUCGAUGGAUAGGGGUUCUGAGAGGAAGGUCCCCCACAUUGGAACUGAGACACGGUCCAAACUCCUACGGGAGGCAGCAGUGAGGAAUAUUGGUCAAUGGACGAGAGUCUGAACCAGCCAAGUAGCGUGAAGGAUGACUGCCCUAUGGGUUGUAAACUUCUUUUAUACGGGAAUAAAGUGAGGCACGUGUGCCUUUUUGUAUGUACCGUAUGAAUAAGGAUCGGCUAACUCCGUGCCAGCAGCCGCGGUAAUACGGAGGAUCCGAGCGUUAUCCGGAUUUAUUGGGUUUAAAGGGAGCGUAGGCGGACGCUUAAGUCAGUUGUGAAAGUUUGCGGCUCAACCGUAAAAUUGCAGUUGAUACUGGGUGUCUUGAGUACAGUAGAGGCAGGCGGAAUUCGUGGUGUAGCGGUGAAAUGCUUAGAUAUCACGAAGAACUCCGAUUG
rnacentral:rRNA from 3 species